rnacentral:rRNA from 1 species
UGGGGAAUUUUGCGCAAUGGGGGAAACCCUGACGCAGCAACGCCGCGUGGAGGAUGAAGUCCUUCGGGACGUAAACUCCUUUCGAUCGGGACGAUUAUGACGGUACCGGAAGAAGAAGCCCCGGCUAACUUCGUGCCAGCAGCCGCGGUAAUACGAGGGGGGCGAGCGUUGUUCGGAAUUAUUGGGCGUAAAGGGUGCGUAGGCGGUUUGGUAAGUCUGAUGUGAAAUCUAUGGGCUCAACUCAUAGUCUGCAUCGGAAACUGCCGGGCUUGAGUAUGGGAGAGGUGAGUGGAAUUCCUGGUGUAGCGGUGAAAUGCGUAGAUAUCAGGAGGAACACCUGUGGCGAAAGCGGCUCACUGGACCAUAACUGACGCUGAUGCACGAAAGCUAGGGGAGCAAACAGGAUUAGAUACCCCGUAGUCC